CCAUAGUUUUUCUGUGCUGGUUCCCCGGGUUGCACCGGGGAGGAAAGAGGGAACGCGGACUGCAGGCUGGCUCCAACCAGCGGCAAACCGCGGCUGCCCCCGCAACUGUAAGCGGCGAGCUUGAUCCGCCAUGGCCACUGGGACUUGUCCUGGGAAGGCCGGACCCAAGCAGCGACCCGCAAGCCAGGAGACCUGCCAGCGCAGUCACCCAACC
rnacentral:ncRNA from 2 species